rnacentral:tRNA from 1 species
AUUAUGUUAAAUUAGUAAGAUAAAUUUAUUCAAUUUAAGAAAUUGAAAGGUAAUUAAUAUAAGAAAUAUAUAUAUAUAAUA